GACGAACGCUGGCGGCGUGCUUAACACAUGCAAGUCGAACGGGAUCCAUGGAGUGCUUGCACUCCGGAAGAUCUAGUGGCGAACGGGUGAGUAACACGUGAGAAACCUGCCCCAGACUCUGGGAUAACCUCGGGAAACCGAAGCUAAUACCGGAUAUUCUCCUUUGGUCGCAUGGCCAGUUGAGGAAAGUUUUUCGGUCUGGGAGGGUCUCGCGGCCUAUCAGCUAGUUGGUGGGGUAACGGCCCACCAAGGCUACGACAGGUAGCUGGUUUGAGAGAACGAUCAGCCACACUGGAACUGAGACACGGUCCAGACUCCUACGGGAGGCAGCAGUGGGGAAUCUUGCGCAAUGGGCGAAAGCCUGACGCAGCAACGCCGCGUGCGGGAUGAAGGCCUUCGGGUUGUAAACGCUUUCAGCAGGACGAAAUAGACGGUACCGUGCAGAAGAAGCCCCGGCGUAACUAACGUGCCAGCAGCCGCGGUAAAAUACACGUGUA
rnacentral:rRNA from 1 species